GCCGAAUCAACUAGCCCUGAAAAUGGAUGGCGCUCAAGCGUCGUACCUAUACUCGCUGUGUGUGGAAGAAAGCGAGCGAAGCGAGCAUUCGUGCUUGUUGCGUCUCAAACUACAUGUAGCCACACACAAGUAGGUGGGCGUGGAGGUGUUUGCGUGAGAGCAAUCUUUUGAACAAGCCGUGGAAGCCUGUGGCGUGAGCCUGGGUGGAGGGGCCUCCAGUGCAGAUCUUGGUGACAGUAGCAACGAUUCAAAUGAGAGCUUUGAAGACUGAAGUGGAGCAAGGUUCCGUGGGAACAGCAGUUGGCCACGGGUGAGUCGGUCCUAAGAGAUGGGGCAGUCCUGUGUCAAGUGGGGAGUUGUUGCGUGUGUGUGGGUGGUGGUGAUAUUAUCGCCAUGCUUGCACACGUGUUGAUUACCCCAGUCCAUCGAAAGGGAACCAGGUUAAGAUUCCUGGACCAACGCACGCCACAAAGAAUGUUUUGAUAGAGCAGCGGCAACGCGUACAAACUCGGAGACGCUGCCGGGGGCCCUGGAAAGAGUUUUCUUUUCUUUUUAACGAGCCGCAUUGUGGGGGGGAAUAGGGGGAAUAGUGUUAGUUUAUUCUGCGCUCUUCAACCUUCCUCCUCGCAUUCUCUGACCCUGGAAUCAGUUUGGCUGGAGAUGGGGUGAGAGGCUCGGCAAAGCACCACUGACCUCUUUUUGUUGUGGUGUCCGGCGCGUUCCCGGCGGUCCAUGAAAAUCCGAGGGUGUGAAUGGUAGCAGUGUGGGGGGAAGAAGAGAAGCACUUGUGCUAAUCUAUUUUCUCCGCUGCAUGUGGGCAUGGUUGGCCGUACUGAUAACCGCAGCAGGUCUCCAAGGUGAAGAGCCUCUAGUUUGAUAGACGAAUGUAGGUAAGGGAAGUCGGCAAAAUAGAUCCGUAAGCUCGCGAUAAGGAUUGGCUCAAGAGGUUGAUUGUGUGUGUGGGGGGUGGCGGUGAAAGGGGGUGUGUGUGUGUUUUCAUACACGCUUCCAUUGGCACUCUUACUGUCUGCGCACACUAUUUUUUAGCAACCGAUCUUGAACUGGUACGGACAAGGGGAAUCCGACUGUUUACUUAAAACAAAGCAUUGCGAGGAUAGGCUGUUGCGACGGUGUAGACGCAAUGUGAUUUCUGCCCAGUGCUCAGAAUGUCAACGUGAAGAAAUUCAAGCCAAGCGCGGGAUCAACGGCGGAAGUAACUAUGACUUUCUUAAGGUAGCCAAAUGCCUCGUCAUUUAACUGGUGACGCGCAUGAAUGGAUUAACGAGAUUCCCACUGUCCCUAUCUACGCUCUAGCGAAACCGCAGCCAAGGGAACGGACUUGGCACAAUCAGCGGGGAAAGAAGACCCGCUAGAGCUUGACUCUAGUCCGACCGUGUGAAAAGACACCAGAGGUGUAGCAUAGGUGGGAGCAGGUGUGGGUUUACUUGUGCUUGCGGCCUUGAAAUACCACUACUCUGGUCGUUUUUUUGCUUAUUGAAUGACACGGGGCUGGUGUGGGUGAUUGUGGUGUGCGUAGCGCGCAUUUCUUGUGUGAGCUGUGCGCACCCGAUCACACAUGUGCACCAUUUCUGGAGAAAGGGAGGGCAGCGUGGAGUGUUUGUGCACUUUAUGUUAUGCCGAUCCCGACCCGCUUUCAAGACGAGGUCAGGUGGGGAGUUUGGCUGGGGCGGCACAUCUGUAAAACGAUAACGCAGGUGUCCCAAGGUGAGCUCAAUGAGAACGGAAAUCUCAUGUGGAGUAAAAGGACAAAAGCUCACUUGAUUUUGUGAUUUUCAGGAUGAAUACAAACUGUGAAAGCAUGGCCUAUCGAUCCUUUAGUCGCGGCGGAUAAGAGUGAACAACGCACUCGUGCGUCUAAGCUCCCAUUCUGCACUGCGCCUGUUGACAGCUUCAACCUAGAGGUGUCCGAAAAGUUACCGGCGGGAUAACUGGCUUGUGGCAGCCAAGCGUUCAUAGCGACGUUGCUUUUUGAUCCUUCGAUGUCGACUCUUCCUAUCAUUGUGAAGCAGAAUUCACCAAGUGUUGGAUUGUUCACCCACUAAUAGGGAACGUGAGUUGGGUUUAGACCGUCGUGAGACAGGUUAGUUUUACCCUACUGAUGAUAUUUAUGACUUACACAGUUGUGAUAGUAAUUCAACUCAGUACGAGAGGAACCGUUGAUUCGGAUAGUUGGUUCAUGCGGUUGGCUGAGGAGCCAGGGCCGCGACGCUAUCAUCCGUAGGAUUAUGACUGAACGCCUCUAAGUCAGAAUCCAUGCUAGAUUUGCGCAGCUGUACUGUUGCUGGUGGUGGCAUGUAAAAGUGUUGCUGCCAGUGGUUUUUGGUUUCUCUUCGAGAUUUGAUGGUGGUGGUGUGUUGUGGUGCCUCGUGUGCUGCAGUGCACUGUCAUUUAUUGU